rnacentral:rRNA from 1 species
UACGUAGGGUGCGAGCGUUAAUCGGAAUUACUGGGCGUAAAGCGUGCGCAGGCGGCGCCGCAAGUCAGGCGUGAAAUCCCCGAGCUUAACUUGGGAAUGGCGCUUGAAACUACGGUGCUGGAGUGUGGCAGAGGGAGGUGGAAUUCCACGUGUAGCGGUGAAAUGCGUAGAGAUGUGGAGGAACACCGAUGGCGAAGGCAGCCUCCUGGGCCAACACUGACGCUCAUGCUCGAAAGCGUGGGGAGAAAACAGG